rnacentral:misc_RNA from 1 species
GAUCGGCGGUAGUUUACGGAGACGACGACAGCGCCGUUACAGAGCGUGACGAGGCGGCGGCAGAGAGAGUCGUAGAUGGCGCUGUUUGCGGAGGAGUGGGCAAAGCUUCCGCCGUGGAAGAAGAUAAUGACCGGGAAGGGGUCCUGCGACGGGGGGCGGCGGAGCUCGGCAAGGAGGGCGGGGGCGGAGAGCGGGGCCUGGGCAUCGUCGGCGGGGCGGUAGAUGCGGGCGAGGAGGCUGGUUGGGCGGUCGAUGAUGAGGUCGAAGGAGCGGACACCGUUGACAGCGGCGGCAUUCGCAGGCACCUUCCGGUCCAGAAACUCAGCGAGAUGGCGGUCGAAGGUACCGUCAGGGCGGCGUAGCAUGUUGUAGGCGACCUUGAAGUUGGAGAUCAGCACCCAUGUGUUGAGUGGCACAGCCAUCUUGGAUUCGUUGGCAUUGACUUCGUUACCACCGGCCAUCUGAAACUGGUAGCAGCAAG